GCUUACAGCCAUGCUAGCCUGAGAACGCCCGAUCUCGUCAGAUCUCGGAAGCUAAGCAGGUUUGGCCCUGGUUAGUACUUGGAUGGGAGACCGCUUGGGAAUACCAUGUGCUGUAAGCU